CUACAGUUGAGGCAGUAACCUGCUAUGACCUCAAGCAGUCGAAAAGCCCUGACUAGCGCUGCCUUUGUGAGACAAUAGCCGCCACAUGAACGGGCACUCCAGGGUUAUGGUGUUUGCCUCCCUGCUAGUGCUGUGUGCUCCAGCGUGGGUAACACAGCUUUGAUAGCUUCAUGCUGAGAGGAAGCGAAGGGACAAGAGAAGGACACUUUGCUUGCUAGCGUGAGAAGGUUUAUUUUCCUAUAUGUGGACGGAGCAAACCAUCCUCAGUGCAAAUGCAAGGCAAAAUGGCGAUGGGACAAAGGAAUGCAUUAGAUUAAAUAGGGGGUGGGCCUCGCCCUAUGGGGACAAAUGACAGGGGAGUGACACGGAUCACAACAACCUAUGGGAACAUAACACAGGCUAUGCCUGUGUCAUGGUUCCAUUCAACAAGCAAAUUCAUAGGACAAGACAUUCUCUUAUCAAACCCAGUCAUGUGAUAGUUGUGACUUCUAAGACAUCGAGAAGUUUUGAGAUAGAAGAAUGAGAACUGCAUGCAGUCUUACAGGCAGAGAAAGAAUAAAGGGUUUCCACAUAAUGGAAUAAUGGCA